rnacentral:rRNA from 1 species
CUCAAAGGAAUUGACGGGGCCCGCACAAGCGGUGGAGUAUGUGGUUAAUUCGAUGCAACGCGAAGAACCUUACCUGGUCUUGACAUCCCGGAGACCCUUAGGAAACUAGGGGGUGCUUCCAUCUGGAAGAAUCUGGAGACAGGUGCUGCAUGGCUGUCGUCAGCUCGUGUCGUGAGAUGUUGGGUUAAGUCCCGCAACGAGCGCAACCCUUGCCUUUAGUUGCCAGCAGUUCGGCUGGGCACUCUAAAGGGACUGCCGGUGUUAAACCGGAGGAAGGUGGGGAUGACGUCAAGUCCUCAUGGCCUUUAUGACCAGGGCUACACACGUACUACAAUGGCCGAUACAAAGGGCAGCGACACUGCGAGGUGAAGCCAAUCCCGUAAAAUCGGUCUCAGUCCGGAUUGGAGUCUGCAACUCGACUCCAUGAAGUUGGAAUCGCUAGUAAUCGUGGAUCAGCAUGCCACGGUGAAUACGUUCCGGGCCUU